CCUACGGGGGGCAGCAGUGGGGAAUAUUGGACAAUGGGGGCAACCCUGAUCCAGCCAUGCCGCGUGUGUGAAGAAGGCCCUCGGGUUGUAAAGCACUUUCAGUGAGGAAGAACGCCUGGUGGUUAAUACCCAUCAGGAAAGACAUCACUCACAGAAGAAACACCGGCUAACGCCGUGCCAGCAGCCGCGGUAAUACGGAGGGUGCGAGCGUUAAUCGGAAUUACUGGGCGUAAAGCGCGCGUAGGUGGCUUGAUAAGCCGGUUGUGAAAGCCCCGGGCUCAACCUGGGAACGGCAUCCGGAACUGUCAAGCUAGAGUGCAGGAGAGGAAGGUAGAAUUCCCGGUGUAGCGGUGAAAUGCGUAGAGAUCGGGAGGAAUACCAGUGGCGAAGGCGGCCUUCUGGACUGACACUGACACUGAGGUGCGAAAGCGUGGGUAGCAAACAGGAUUAGAUACCCCGGUAGUC
rnacentral:rRNA from 1 species